rnacentral:misc_RNA from 1 species
CGCACAUUGCGCCCCCUGGCAUUCCGGGGGGCAUGCCUGUCCGAGCGUCAUUGCACCUCUCAAGCGUAGCUUGGUAUUGGGUCCGGCCUGCGAGGGCCCGCCCGGAAACGAGCGGCGGUCUGGUGAGACUUCAAGCGCAGUAAAUUUUCAUCGCUUUGGAAGAUCUCGCGGGGCCUGCCGGCGACCACAACUUCAAUGAUUGACCUCGGAUCAGGUAGGGAUACCCGCUGAACUUAA